rnacentral:rRNA from 1 species
UGUGGGCGGGGAGAAGAUCCCAAGGCGCUUGAGAGAACCCUGCUUAAGGAACUCUGCAAAAUGACACCGUAACUUCGGGAGAAGGUGUGCCCUCAUUACGUGAACCGCGAACGCGGGGAGCGGACGGGGGUUGCAGAGAAUCGGGGGUGGCGACUGUUUACCAAAAACACAGCACUCUGCGAAGUCGUAAGACGACGUAUAGGGUGUGAUGCCUGCCCGGUGCUGGAAGGUUAAAGAGAGAACUCAGCCGCAAGGUGAAGGUUCGAACUGAAGCCCCAGUAAACGGCGGCCGUAACAAUAACGGUCCUAAGGUAGCGAAAUUCCUUGUCGGGUAAGUUCCGACCUGCACGAAUGGCAUAACGACUUCCCCACUGUCUCGAGCAGGGACUCAGCGAAGUAGCACUAGGGGUGAAGAUACCCUUUACCCACGGCAGGACGAAAGACCCCGUGAACCUUCACUACAGCUUGACAUUGAUUUUCGAACUGUUUUGCGUAGGAUAGGUGGGAGGCUUUGAAGUCGGGAUUCCGGUCUUGAUGGAGCCAACGUUGAAAUACCACCCUGAACGCUUUGGAAAUCUAACCUACACCCGUGAGCCGGGUGGGGGACACUGUCUGGUGGGUAGUUUGACUGGGGCGGUCGCCUCCCAAAGAGUAACGGAGGCGCGCGAAGGUCCCCUCAGCCUGAUUGGAAACCAGGCGCCGAGUGUAAAGACAUAAGGGGGCUUGACUGCGAGUCCGACGAGACGAGCAGGUACGAAAGUAGGUCUUAGUGAUCCGGUGGCUCCACAUGGAAGGGCCAUCGCUCAACGGAUAAAAGGUACUCCGGGGAUAACAGGCUUAUCACGUCCAAGAGUUCACAUCGACGACGUGGUUUGGCACCUCGAUGUCGGCUCAUCGCAUCCUGGGGCUGAAAUCGGUCCCAAGGGUUUAGCUGUUCGCUAAUUAAAGCGGUACGCGAGCUGGGUUCAGAACGUCGUGAGACAGUUCGGUCCCUAUCCGCCGUGGGCGUAGGACACUUGAGAGGAGCUGACUUUAGUACGAGAGGACCGAGUUGGACGAACCGAUGGUGUUCCGGUUGUCACGCCAGUGGCAUCGCCGGGUAGCUAUGUUCGGAAGGGAUAACCGCUGAAAGCAUCUAAGCGGGAAGCCCCCCUCAAGAUAAGGUGUCCCAAAUGCAGUCAAUGCACCAGAAGACCCCUCGUAGACUACGAGGUUGAUAGGCGCAGUGUGGAAAUGCAGCAAUGCAUGGAGCUAAUGCGUACUAAUCGGUCGGGCGGCUUGACCAC